AGAGUAUGCAAGCUUUAGCAAUAAUAUUGUCAGUUGUUGUGUUUGUAAGACUGAUUUGAAGAUGUAUUUAUAGUGUCAAACCAUGCAUUACCGUUGCCUAAUUGCCAAUUAAGAAUUGCUGAUUUUGUGCUAUGACAAUCGAUUGUCUACUCGGCACAAUCAAUUGUUUUUCAAUCGUUCCAAAAAUCAUUCCCAGAUUUUACGCCAU
rnacentral:lncRNA from 1 species